rnacentral:rRNA from 1 species
GUAGGUGGCAAGCGUUGUCCGGAAUUAUUGGGCGUAAAGCGCGCGCAGGCGGUCCUUUAAGUCUGAUGUGAAAGCCCACGGCUCAACCGUGGAGGGUCAUUGGAAACUGGGGGACUUGAGUGCAGAAGAGGAGAGUGGAAUCCCACGUGUAGCGGUGAAAUGCGUAGAGAUGUGGAGGAACACCAGUGGCGAAGGCGACUCUCUGGUCUGUAACUGACGCUGAGGCGCGAAAGCGUGGGGGAGCGAACAGGAUUAGAUACCCUGGUAGACCACGCCGUAAACGAUGAGUGCUAAGUGUUAGAGGGCUUCCCGCCCUUUAGUGCUGCAGCUAACGCAUUAAGCACUCCGCCUGGGAGUACGGUCGCAAGACUG